CGGAAGCCCCUGCCUAGCGUCUCCCCAUGGCCCUUGGUACAUCCUCCCCUUCUCCACCCGCACCUCCGUCUUCCCCGCAACACAUAUACACAAACACCCGGACCCUAGGUUCCCCAGAGCCCGAAGGCCACUCAGGGGGCGUCCAGCGACCUGCACUACUGGGUCGGGAAGCAGGCGGGUGCGGAAGCGCAGGGCGCUGCGGAGGCCUUCCAGCAGCGCCUACAUGACGAGCUGGGGGGCCAGACCGUGCUGCACCGCGAGGCGCAGGGCCACGAGUCCGACUGCUUCUGCAGCUACUUCCGCCCGGGAAUCAUCUACAGGAAGGGAGGCCUAGCAUCUGACCUCAAGCAUGUGGAGACCAACUUGUUCAACAUCCAGCGACUGCUGCACAUCAAAGGGAGGAAGCACGUGUCUGCCACUGAGGUGGAGCUCUCCUGGAACAGCUUUAAUAAGGGUGACAUCUUCCUGCUGGACCUAGGCAAGAUGAUGAUUCAGUGGAAUGGGCCCAAGACCAACAUUUCUGAGAAGGCUCGGGGGCUGGCCUUGACCUACAGCCUCCGGGACAGGGAACGUGGUGGUCGUGCACAGAUUGGUGUGGUGGAUGAUGAGGCCAAAGCCCCGGACCUCAUGCAGAUCAUGGAGGCUGUGCUGGGCUGCAGGGUGGGCAGCCUGCGUGCCGCCACGCCCAGCAAGGAUAUCAACCAGCUGCAGAAGGCCAAUGUUCGCCUGUACCAUGUCUAUGAGAAGGGCAAAGACCUGGUGGUCCUGGAGUUGGCGACCCCCCCACUGACCCAGGACCUGCUGCAGGAGGAGGACUUCUACAUCCUGGACCAGGGUGGCUUCAAGAUCUAUGUGUGGCAGGGACGCAUGUCUAGCCUCCAGGAGAGAAAGGCUGCCUUCAGCCGGGCUGUGGGCUUCAUCCAGGCCAAGGGCUACCCGACCUACACCAAUGUGGAGGUGGUGAACGACGGCGCCGAGUCGGCCGCGUUCAAGCAGCUCUUCCGGACUUGGUCUGAGAAGCGGAGCAGGAACCAGAAGCUCGGCGGGAGGGAUAAAUCGAUUCAUGUAAAGCUGGACGUGGGCAAGCUGCACACCCAGCCUAAGUUAGCGGCCCAGCUCAGGAUGGUGGACGACGGCUCUGGGAAGGUGGAGGUGUGGUGCAUCCAGGACUUACACAGGCAGCCUGUGGACCCCAAGCGUCAUGGACAGCUGUGUGCAGGCAACUGCUACCUUGUGCUCUAUACAUACCAGAGGCUGGGCCGUGUCCAGUACAUCCUGUACCUGUGGCAGGGCCACCAGGCCACUGCGGAUGAGAUUGAGGCCCUGAACAGCAACGCUGAGGAACUAGAUGUCAUGUAUGGUGGCGUCCUAGUACAGGAGCAUGUGACCAUGGGCAGCGAGCCCCCCCACUUCCUCGCCAUCUUCCAGGGCCAGCUGGUGAUCUUCCAGGUAGGUCUCACCUUGCCACUCUGGCCACAGCCUGCCCAGUUCUGCAUGGGCCAUGGCCCCCGCACACACUUCUAAGCACCUUCUCUUUGGGCCUGGGGCCUGCUUAUCAUCCUCUAGUUUCCCAGAGCUUGUCCAAGGCCCAGGAGCUCCAAGGUUGGCCCCUGCCUGAGUUUCCCUCCCCAGUCCCAGAGCCAGAUGAGGAAUUUGAGUUGAAAGGGAGCCAGGGGCUUGCCUGGGGCUGCACACUAGCAAACCUGGUCCCCACUUUCCACCUCCAAGGCCUGAGCACCCAUGCCCCGACCACUCAGAGAUGGGGGGAAAGGUCCAUUUAAAAAGGGUCUGUCCCUGUCCCAGACUGAUGGGAUUCCUGCACUCCACACUUAGAGGGUCCUGUACUCCUCAUGUGAAAUCACCAGUGAGGGCCUUGAUGGCUUCAAGCAAGGGUCCCUGAGCUCUGAGGCAAUAUGUCCCACACUGGGACAGGAAGGCGCCCCUGGGAGCCCUUGCCCAGCCUGAGGCCUUGCUCUCCUAUAGGAGAGAGCUGGGCACCAUGGAAAGGGGCAGUCAGCAUCCACCACAAGGCUUUUCCAAGUGCAAGGCACUGACAGCCACAACACCA
rnacentral:sRNA from 1 species